CAAUUUGAAACUUUAAGGAUAUUUUUUAAGGUUUAAACAAUGAAUUUUAUUUUAAACAUUCAAAAAAGUUUCUUGUUUCUUGUUUUCUGUCUCCAACAUCUUCAACUAUAUUUCUGAAAAUAAAAAAAAUAAAAAAACAUCAAAUAGUCUACCUUCAAUCAGAACAAAAGUCCAUGGAUAAGUUAUAAAAUUACAAUAAUGUACAAACUCUCAUCAAAUUUCUUGUUCCAAUUUUCAAUGCCCAGAUCUUUGAAACUUUUCAUAAUUGUAAAAGUUGACAAGUUUGCACACCGAUUGAAGUUUUUUCACCUCCCUUAUUGAGUUAAUAAAGAUUUCCCGC
rnacentral:lncRNA from 1 species